GUGAGUAGUUCAGAGUUUGAUCCUGGCUCAGGAUGAACGCUGGCGGCGUGCUUAACACAUGCAAGUCGAACGAAGCACCUGAAUGGAUUUCUUCGGAAUGAAGUUCUUGUGACUGAGUGGCGGACGGGUGAGUAACGCGUGGGUAACCUGCCUUACACAGGGGGAUAACAGUUAGAAAUGACUGCUAAUACCGCAUAACCCGCUAGUACCGCAUGGUACAGACGGAAAAGAUUUAUCGGUGUAAGAUGGACCCGCGUCUGAUUAGCUAGUUGGCAGGGUAACGGCCUACCAAGGCGACGAUCAGUAGCCGACUUGAGAGAGUGACCGGCCACAUUGGGACUGAGACACGGCCCAA
rnacentral:rRNA from 1 species